rfam:Trichomalopsis sarcophagae strain Alberta scaffold22868, whole genome shotgun sequence.
CAAUCGGCCCUUUUAAGGGCCACCAGAAAAUAUUUACGUAGUGACA